GAUGAACGCUGGCGGCGUGCUUAACACAUGCCAGUCGAACGAUGAGGCCCAGCUUGCUGGGUGGAUUAGUGGCGAACGGGUGAGUAACACGUGAGUAACCUGCCCUUGACUCUGGGAUAAGCCUGGGAAACUGGGUCUAAUACUGGAUAUGACUUCUCAUCGCAUGGUGGGGGGUGGAAAGAUUUAUUGGUCUUGGAUGGACUCGCGGCCUAUCAGCUUGUUGGUGGGGUAAUGGCUCACCAAGGCGACGACGGGUAGCCGGCCUGAGAGGGUGACCGGCCACACUGGGACUGAGACACGGCCCAGACUCCUACGGGAGGCAGCAGUGGGGAAUAUUGCACAAUGGGCGCAAGCCUGAUGCAGCGACGCCGCGUGAGGGAUGACGGCCUUCGGGUUGUAAACCUCUUUCAGUAGGGAAGAAGCGAGAGUGACGGUACCUGCAGAAGAAGCGCCGGCUAACUACGUG
rnacentral:rRNA from 1 species